CCUACGGGCGGCAGCAGUGAGGAAUAUUGGUCAAUGGGCGUAAGCCUGAACCAGCCAAGUCGCGUGAGGGAUGAAGGUUCUAUGGAUCGUAAACCUCUUUUAUAAGGGAAUAAAGUGUGGGACGUGUCCUAUUUUGUAUGUACCUUAUGAAUAAGGAUCGGCUAACUCCGUGCCAGCAGCCGCGGUAAUACGGAGGAUCCGAGCGUUAUCCGGAUUUAUUGGGUUUAAAGGGUGCGUAUGCGGGCUUUUAAGUCAUCGGUGAAAGUCUGUGGCUCAACCCUAGAAUUGCCGUUGAAACUGGGGGGCUUGAGUAUGUUAGAGGCAGGUGGAAUGCGGGGUGUAGCGGUGAAAUGCUUAGAUAUCACGCAGAACCCCGAUUGCGAAGGCAGCCUGCCAAGCCAUGACUGACGCUGAUGCACGAAAGCGUGGGGAUCAAACAGGAUUAGAUACCCGGGUAGUC
rnacentral:rRNA from 1 species